CAAUAGCGUAUAUUUAAGUUGUUGCAGUUAAAAAGACUCGUAGUUGGAUUUCGGUUGAGAACGGCCGGUCCGCCGUUUGGUGUGCACUGGCUGGUCUCAACUUCCUGUAGAGGACGCGCUCUGGGUUAACGCUCGGACGCGGAGUCUACGUGGUUACUUUGAAAAAAUUAGAGUGUUCAAAGCGGGCUUACGCUUGAAUAUUUCAGCAUGGAAUAACACUAUAGGACUCCUGUCCUAUUUCGUUGGUCUCGGGACGGGAGUAAUGAUUAAGAGGAACAUUGGGGGCAUUCGAUUUCAUUGUCAGAGGUGAAAUUCUUGGAUUUAUGAAAAGACGAAACUUCUGCGAAAAGCAAUUUGCCAAGGAUGUUUUCAUUAAUCAAGAACGAAAUUGGGG
rnacentral:rRNA from 1 species